rnacentral:lncRNA from 1 species
CAUAAUAAUCAUGAUAAUGAUAAUAAUAAUAAUAAUAAUAUAUAAUUUUCCUCAACCAGAAAAAUGCCACCUGGGAUGGUGAACACCCGCGAGUUUAACAAGGAGAACUUCAAAUCCUGUGGGCUCCAGUUAAUUUUUCAUGUAAUGAAAGAAUUUAAAAAAGAGCAAAACAAACUAAGAACUCAUGUGAACGAGAUUCUCCACAGCAUCUUCUUUUUAGGGAUCAUUCAUAAGGACAGUCUCACUCCCGAAGACAUUAUACCUGAAAAGAUUGCUGAGAUUACAAGACAGGAAUUUCCAGAACCAUUUAAGAAAUACAAGAGUCAUCUACCUAAGCGGACACCUUUCUCAAUACUGUUAGACAUAAUGCAGCUUACAUAUGGCACAAAAGACAAAGUACUGAAGGAGCUUUGCAUUCUCAUGGAAAAGCUGAAAUUCCCUUAUCCUCUGGACAAACCAGCAAACAAAAACCAGCGCUACUACACACUGGAGUCCACCGUCAUUUGUGUGUGCUCUAAUAGCCAACGCACAUCAGAUGAAUAUUUUGGUGCUUCUCUGGGUUGCAGGACAAGAGGGGCCAAAAGCAUUAUGAUAUAUUCAUCAUGUAUAAAUACAUGGCACGAGCAUGUGUCAUAUGCAGUAAUGUCAUUCGAACAUCAGCCAGAAGGUGACAGCUUGCAAUUUCAUGAGUCUCUGCGAUGCCAGGCAUACUUCAGGGAUUGGAAAGACAACACUUACAAGGAAAGACAGCCAUGUAUGAACUGUAAACGGCUUUUCAGUCUGUCAGCAGGUACAGAACAGGAACAUUAUCCUUAUGGCAAUUGUGCAGAGACAGAGUGCUUGAGCAAACUCCUGCUUAAUGAUCAGUUCAUGCGAGAGAAUAUCAAAAUCAGUCAUUUUACUCCUGACAAAAUUAAAAUGUUAAAAGACUGUACCAGGGAACGCUUGCGAAAACUGCUUGCUUCAAUACCUUCUCUCAGCAAUAUGAAUAACGAUGACCUUCCAUGUUUUUAACCUGCUCUCUUAAAUAUUGUCACCAGCUAGAGCAAAAAGGGUUUCACAGACUGAUUCCAUCUUUUCCACAAAUAACUUUUUAUUGUCUAGCUCUAAAGCCCUAUAUAACCAACUCAAGUCCCACAUAGUGAAAAAGAUUUGUAUGUGGAUUCGUUGCUGAUCCUCUACCUACAAAAACUUUUUUGGUCACACUUUACAAUAAGGUCUCAUUUGUUACCAUUAGUUAAACCAGUGCUCAAAGUGGGCCGGUGUUUCGGUGAAUUCAAUUCCCCCGUUUCCCCUUCGGCGCGCAUGUGUGAAAUCACGACAUCAUGAUAUCAAGAGCAGCGGAAAAUGUGUGCUUUAUUAUCUCAAGCAUCAGUUUAUUGUGUUAUUUCCUACUUUCCAUCAACAUAAGGUAUAUUUCAUGUUGUUUUUCAAAUACAUAAGUAAAAUUCUAAAGCAUAGAAUGUAUUGUUUGCAGAGGUUUUAUAGCUCAGUCGUUCAUGGGUUACUGCUAGCUUUACCUUUGAGAAACUCUGUAUAACAGCUAAUGUGUUAAGUUUAAUAAAUGAAUUUCGGCGAUCGUUUACAUUAUUAUAUUAUUGUUAUAUUGUUGUUGUUGGUGUGUGUUGGUUUUGUCACACUUAUGUUUUCCAUAAAUAAACCAUAUUGCACUGCACAAUACUGUGCUGUUGUUGUUAUUAUUAUUAUUAUAAAUAAUGCGGCGAAGGGGAAACGGGAACUGAAUUCACCGGAAAAACUAGAUCGGGGCGUUACCUGAUUGGCUGACGUCAUAGUGACGGUAGGUUUAGGGGCGGGGUUAGGUAAGGUUGAUCAUUUCAUUGCAUCGUUUAGAAACACCCAUCAGUUUGAAAACACCCACAACGUCAGAAACACACACUUUUGCUCUGCAGAGACCUCGUGUUGCCAGACGUACAAUAAUUAUCGUAUCUGUAUGAUAAUUUUGACCUCUGUAUGAUGUACGAUCAAUAAUGAAAAAAAUCCCAUAAUGUACGAUAAUUUCAGAAUUUCUGAACUAGUUUUUUCCAAAGUCAACCUCAUCAAAACAAAGCCACAAAAUCGGCUCAUUACAGACACUCUGAAUGGGUUUAAACCGGUAAACUCCUGGAAAGUCCAAGGAUUCAAACAGUAACCGAAUGAAUUCAGACAGUAAUAAGUUCAAAACAGUGCUAAUGCAGAGAAAACACGGCUGAUUUCAUCAGAGAUGGCGGAGAGAAUAGUGACUUACGUCCAGAUGGCACUAAAUUAUUCUUUACAGCAUGUAUUUGGCUUAAAAGCUAGAGUGUUUUGUACUGGAUGCUGGCUGAAGGUGUUUUAUAUUGUGUGGUGGUCAGAGGUUUAGUGAUUUUUAAUGAUUUUUUAAAAAAGUGCAUGAUUAAUAAAGGUAUGUAUAAGUUUUGUUAUUUCAAAACAUCACAUGGACUUGAAUGUUGCCAUUGUAUCUAAAACAGUGCAAUAUAUCACUGUAUCAUUUAGUUAUAAUCAUCUACUGUGAGUGAACAAGUUUCACUGGUAGAGCAAGGUUCAGUCAGAAUUCCCACCUUCCUCAUUGAUUACAUGAAUACACGGAACACAUUUUAUAACCCCAUAUUCAUACAGUUCAAACAUGUUAUAACUGGUUUGGUACAUGGUGUGCAUUUUGAUCUUGACACAGAGCACAGCACAAGACACACCUUGUUUUAUGGCUUAACCUGAAUGUCUUCCCAUGUCUUUUCCACUCAUGCAAUGAUCACUGGAUAUUCUAAGCUGUUCAUUGCAAUUGUUGAAAUAAAUAAUGUUAUUGUAUAAAGUUUUUUUUUUCCCCCUGUAUUUUAUAGUAGAGAAUUAAUAGGAAAGUUGAGGGAGGGAAUGAGAUCAGUGCAUGACUAACAUCCUUCGAGUCAAUCUGCAUCACCCACUGCAUUAAAAAUAUCAAGACACGACAAGCCCAAAUAAAAUUUUGACAACUUGUCCAAUCUUGUAGUUUAUGAAAAACGCCUUGCCCUGAGAAGCCAGUUUAACCUUUCUAUUAAAAUAUAUGUCAAUUACAUAUCCAUCUGAAUGUACGCUAUAGUGUGGUUUUAUUGUGUCCACAAGUUUAUCCAACAGCAUCAUAUGGAAUUUUAAUUUGGAGGAUAGAAUUCAUAGAAAGAAAAAAAAAAGUACUACAGUCACUACAAUAGACCCAAUAAUAUGCCUGUAGCCUUUCCC